rnacentral:lncRNA from 1 species
CACCACAGAGCAUUGAGUAGCGUUCCCUGUGCUCUACAGUAGGUUCUCAUUAGUUACCUAUUUUAUACAUAGUCGUGUAUAUAUGUCAGUCCCAAUCUCCCAAUUCAUCCCUCCACCCCCAGGAUUUAUUUUAGAUGUGGUUUCUUCUCUUGCUUCUUAUUACCUUUUAAACUAAAAGGAAUAAUCAUAUUUGAAAAAAUUUCCAGAGAGGCCAUUUUUAAGAGGCGCAUGGGGAAAGAACGGUGGCCAGUUUGGCAAGUUGCUGGCAGGGGCCUGAUGGAGGAUAAUAGUGGAGGAGACUUUCGGCUUAUUAAUGGAGAACUGCUCCCUGUCUCUGCACCCUUCUUCCUCCACUCCCCCUCAGCAAGCUGGAAGAAAUGCAACAGCUUAUCUUUCAGAAACACAGCAGUUCAUCUUUCAGAAAUUUUCAGAAAGUGAAAUUCUGUUUCAUUAUUCUCUCCACAUGUAACAACAUACCCUCUGGAAAUCUGUGUGGUUUCUCCGAACCAUACAGAACUCACUUAUUUCUGGAGAAUUCAGGCAGGCAGGGAAAAUGAUACAAGAUUUUUAACAGGUAUAUCCUUUGAGAAGAUACUUAGUUUUUUUUGUUUGUUUGUUUGUUUUGCGGUACGCGGGCCUGUCACUGUUGUGGCCUCUCCCGCCGCGGAGCACAGGCUCCGGAUGUGCAGGCUCAGUGACCAUGGCUCACGGGCCCAGCCGCUCCGUGGCAUGUGGGAUCCUCCAGGACCGGGUCACGAAUCCGUGUCCCCUGCAUCGGCAGGCAGACACUCAACCACUGCGCCACCAGGGAAGCCCGAUACUUAGAUUUUUAGCACGGGACUGAGUCUAUGAAAAAAAUUUUCCUAGCAGGGAAACAUCUGGAACAUGUCUAUAUGCAGGCGUGUCAUUCAAACAUUUAGUUCAAAGACCCUUUUGAUGCUUGUUUACAUAGUGGCAACAGCUGCAAGGGCAAACCGCAUUUUCAAGAGAAAACAAUGGUCCUGUGGGAACUUGUCUCUGUGCUGAACAUAUUAAUUAUUCCACUUCUGUAAUCUCAGAGGAGAAUUUAUAAUUACAGCUGGAGUAGCUCCUCGUUGCUUAAGCAUGAUUCUUAGCAGUGCUCACAAAUUCUUUUUUCUAAGAGCUACUUGGUCUGGGUGGCAUGGUGUUUAUCCUUGCUGACACAUCUGUCAACCAGAAGCUAUCCAAAAAACAAGGACAGGGACUCCCCUGGUGGUCCAGUGGUAAAGAAUUUGCCUUACAAUGCAGAGUACAUGUGUUCGAUCCCUGCUCAGGGAACUAAGAUCCCACAUGCCGCGGGGCAACUAAGCCCGCGUGUAGCAACUACUGAGCUCACACACCUCAACUAGAGCCCAUGUGCCGCUAACUACAGAGCCCAUGCGCUCUGGAACCGGCAUGCCACAAUUGCAGAGCCCACGCCACAACUAGAGAGAGGUCUGAGUACCACAACGAAGAGCCCAAGUGCCGCAACUAAGACCUGAUGCAGCC